AUUGAACGCUGGCGGCAGGCCUAACACAUGCAAGUCGAGCGGAGCGGCGGACGGGUGAGUAAUGCCUCGGAAUCUGCCUGGUCGUGGGGGAUAACGUCCGGACACGGGCGCUCAUACCGCAUACUAUCAGAUGAGCCUAGGUCGGAUUAGCUAGUUGGUGGGGUAAAGUCCGACCAAGGAGACGAUCCGUAACUGGUCUGCGAGGAUGAUCAGUCACACUGGAACUGAGACACGGUCCAGACUACUACGGGAGGCAGCAGUGGUGAAUAUUGGACAAGGGGCGAAAGCCUGAUCCAGCCAUGCCGCGUGUGGGAAGAAGGUCUGCGGAUUGUAAAGCACUUUAAGUUGGGAGGCGUUACCAACAGAAUAAGCACCGGCUAACUUCGUGCCAGCAGCCGCGGUAAUAC
rnacentral:rRNA from 1 species